CACGUGGGUAACCUGCCCAAGAGAUCGGGAUAACACCUGGAAACAGAUGCUAAUACCGGAUAACAACAGAUGAUGCCUAUCAACUGUUUAAAAGAUGGUUCUGCUAUCACUCUUGGAUGGACCUGCGGUGCAUUAGCUAGUUGGUAGGGUAACGGCCUACCAAGGCGAUGAUGCAUAGCCGAGUUGAGAGACUGAUCGGCCACAUUGGGACUGAGACACGGCCCAAACUCCUACGGGAGGCGCAGUC
rnacentral:rRNA from 1 species